GGAUGUUUCUGCAUCCCUGGAGCUGCAGAAACUCAUCUUGUGACUAUCAAAGAAGCCAGCCUGCAGGCAGGUGAUCUUUCCAGUAGUUUGCAGCAUUCCAAGUUUAAGUCCAGUGGAAAAGCAUCUUGCUCUCGAUAACAUCAGUGACCUCUCUUCUUUUGAAUGCUGGUGGCCUGAUGACUUCCCAGGAGAUGCUAGUGGCAUGGAUUAUCUGGUUUGAUCCUCACUACAACGCUACGAACCUGAUGACCUCCACUCAGAGAUAAAAAACUGUGACUUGUCCAAGAUUCCCUGAGCCCUAGUGUGCGCUGGGAGCAGAUUUCUGCACAGGCUGUCUCAGCCCAAAGCCCUGGCUGUCCGUCAGGACCUCUGCGUGUCAGUCACCCCCUCUUCAGUGACUUUGGCUCUAUCCAGAGGACAGCUGCAUUAUUAUUUUCCUGAGCAAAAAAAAAAACAAGUAACCUUACCCCUCACAGUGCUAUCCUGGGAUGGGUUCAGAGCACUUGUGUAUGUUAUUUUUCCAAUAAAUUUUGAGGAAUCGCUGCUUUCAAACCACAAUGUGAAGCCACCCUGUGGUAAUAUCAAAAUGAAUUUUUAAUGAUUGAGCACUAUAUAGGUGAAAAUUAUUGUAAUAAUUGAUGAAUUAAUCCACGCGUGGGCCGCAUACCCGCUAGAAGAGGGCUGAG
ensembl:lncRNA